AAAGUUGAAUUUUACUAGGAAAUUGUGAUGUCAUGAUCAUGUUGGUUCUGCCAUAGACCUGUUAUAAAAAAGGGGCAGUAGAAGUGAGACUCCAGAAGAUCCAAGAACCGAGUGAGAAGAACAUCGUCCUCAUCUCCUCCUGGUCAGAAAGAACGCCAUGAAGACUCUCUGCUUCUCUCUGGGGCUGCUGCUGUUGGUUGUCUGCUGCAGUGAUGCCAUGCCCGUUGGAGUUUCAGAUCAUGGACCUUGCUGCUUUGAAUUCAGGGAAAAGCAAUUACCACCAAAGAGAGUGACUGGAAUCAUCAGAACUCAUCCUCGUUGUCAACAUAAGGCGUUUAUAGUUUCUACUGUUAGAAAGGAGUUCUGCUUUAGGGACAACUUCCAGUGGGCUGUGGAUACCUUCAACAAGUUCAACCCUGAAGGAAGCGGUUAAAAUAAUAUUCCAUUCUCUAACACAAACAUAAAAUUACUCUCUUUUUUUAAAGAAUAACUGUGUUCUUGCUUUGUUUUAAAGUUGUCAUUUUACUUUGGCAAAUAUCUGUCUGUGGUUCAUACUUUGUAUGUUUUUUUUACUUCUAUCAUGUCUUCUGCUUUGUUAAGGCACAGAGAUUUAAUAAAGUUUUUAUUCCCAA